rnacentral:lncRNA from 1 species
UUGAUUUUUCACUUUUGGUCUUUUGGUUGACUUUAUCCGUUUUGAGAUGUGUUUCAUCAUGCACUUUGGUUGAUUGAUGCUGACACGUUAUUAUCUUUGAGAUAUCCACAUGAUGAUCAUUCACUUACUUGUUUGGUGCUAUGUGCAUUACUAUUCAUUCAUAUCAUUUAUGCGCACCACCAAGUUGUAUGUGACAUGGAAGAGUGAUCCAUAAUCCUAAUAGAUUGUGCAUUUGCAUUCAAACGCAAAUUUAAAAUAAUGCACAAAUUUAGGGGGAGCUCUUUCUUUUCACGUACUCUCAAAGCGUCCAUACUAAUCAUUAAUUAUAUCUUUCGUCGAAGCUUUGAUCUAUAUGUUGUCACCAAUUACCAAAAAGGGGGAGAUUGAAAGCACCAUUGCUCCCUAAGGUGGUUUUGGUAAUUAAUAAAAACAUAUGCAUCAUUUGAUUAAUGGGUUUAUUCAAGUACAUUUCAGAAAAGUUCAAAGAUGCUUUGGCUAUAGGGUUGUGUGAUGAUGCCCCUUUGAUGUAAGGAAGGAAUAGGGUUGGCUAAAGCUUCAAGCAAGAAGAAUAUUCAUUUUAUAAUUUGUGAGAAAUCACUUUGAGUCCAUAGGAAAGCCAAUACUAUUAAAAGAGGGUGAUGUAUUAUGAUCAAUUGGUUUCUCAAGUGCUUAGAGAUAGCCACCAAAAAUACUCGGCCACUUUCCCACAAAAUAUAUCUAUCCCAAGCCACAUAUGCAAAAUCGGUGCCACCAAAAUUUC